rnacentral:rRNA from 1 species
CCUACGGGUGGCAGCAGUGAGGAAUAUUGGUCAAUGGGCGCAAGCCUGAACCAGCCAAGUAGCGUGAAGGAUGACUGCCCUACGGGUUGUAAACUUCUUUUAUAGAGGAGUAAAGUGAGCCACGUGUGCCUUUUAGGAUGUACUUUAUGAAUAAGGAUCGGCUAACUCCGUACCAGCAUCCGCGGUAAUACGGGGGUUCCGAGCGUUUACCGGAUUUUUUGGGUGUAAAGGGUGCGUAGAUGGGUUGUUAAGUCAGUUGGGAAAGUUUGGGGCUCAACCGUAGAACUGCAGUUGAUACUGGCAGUCUUGAGUACAGGUGAGGUAGGCGGAAUUCGUGGUGUAGCGGUGAAAUGCUUAGAUAUCACGAAGAACUCCGAUUGCGAAGGCAGCUUACUAAACUGCAACUGACAUUGAGGCUCGAAAGUGUGGGUAUCAAACAGGAUUAGAUACCCGUGUAGUC